rnacentral:tRNA from 1 species
GCUCGGAUGGUGAAAUAGGUAGACACAAGGGACUUAAAAUCCCUUGGGCGGAAACGCCCGUGCUGGUUCGAGUCCAGUUCCGAGCA